AAAAGGUUGCUCAGCAUCUAUCAAGGCUAUCAUAAGGUUCUGGUAUGAAGAUGGCUUCAUAGCAUCAUCCCUCCUCCUGAUGGCUGGAUUCCCUCCUCCAUUUUUUUUUUUUUUGGAAUAGUUUAAGUAGAAUUGAUACCAGCUUUUCUGUUAAAAUUUGGUUGUGAAUCCAUCUGGUCCAGGUUAGUUGGAGAAACCGCGGCUACUGUAGCCUUCCUCCUGCCCCAGACCUGCAACAGGGAAGAGCACGUUCAGGACCUAUUGCUGGGGCACCUUCCACACUUGUCACACAAUUCUGGCU
rnacentral:lncRNA from 1 species